GUGGGGAAUCUUGCGCAAUGGGCGAAAGCCUGACGCAGCCAUGCCGCGUGAAUGAUGAAGGUCUUAGGAUUGUAAAAUUCUUUCACCGGGGACGAUAAUGACGGUACCCGGAGAAGAAGCUCCGGCUAACUUCGUGCCAGCAGCCGCGGUAAUACGAAGGGGGCUAGCGUUGCUCGGAAUUACUGGGCGUAAAGGGCGCGUAGGCGGACAGCUUAGUCAGAGGUGAAAGCCCAGGGCUCAACCUUGGAAUUGCCUUUGAUACUGGCUGUCUUGAGUUUGGGAGAGGUGAGUGGAACUCCGAGUGUAGAGGUGAAAUUCGUAGAUAUUCGGAAGAACACCAGUGGCGAAGGCGACUCACUGGCCCAAUACUGACGCUGAGGCGCGAAAGCGUGGGGGGCAAACAGGAUUAGAUACCCGUGUAGUCC
rnacentral:rRNA from 1 species